CAAGUCGAACGCGAAAGGGGGGGCAACUCCCCGAGUAGAGUGGCGAACGGGUGAGUAAUACAUCGGAACGUGUCCAGUAGCGGGGGAUAACCUCUCGAAAGAGAGGCUAAUACCGCAUACGACCUACGGGUGAAAGAGGGGGAUCGCAAGACCUCUCACUAUUGGAGCGGCCGAUGUCGGAUUAGCUAGUUGGCGGGGUAAAAGCCCACCAAGGCGACGAUCCGUAGCUGGUCUGAGAGGACGGCCAGCCACACUGGAACUGAGACACGGUCCAGACUCCUACGGGAGGCAGCAGUGGGGAAUUUUGGACAAUGGGCGCAAGCCUGAUCCAGCCAUGCCGCGUGAGUGAAGAAGGCCUUCGGGUUGUAAAGCUCUUUCGGCGGGGACGAAAAGGUCCGUGUUAACACCAUGGAUCCAUGACGGUACCCGCAGAAGAAGCACCGGCUAACUACGUGCCAGCAGCCGCGGUAAUACGUAGGGUGCAGGCGUUAAUCGGAAUUACUGGGCGUAAAGCGUGCGCAGGCGGUUUGCUAAGACAGGUGUGAAAUCCCCGGGCUUAACCUGGGAACUGCGCUUGUAACUGGCAAGCUAGAGUGUGGCAGAGGGGGGUGGAAUUCCACGUGUAGCAGUGAAAUGCGUAGAGAUGUGGAGGAACACCGAUGGCGAAGGCAGCCCCCUGGGCUAACACUGACGCUCAUGCACGAAAGCGUGGGGAGCAAACAGGAUUAGAUACCCUGGUAGUCCACGCCCUAAACUAUGUCAACUGGUUGUCGGGGAAGCAAUUCCUUGGUAACGAAGCUAACGCGUGAAGUUGACCGCCUGGGGAGUACGGCCGCAAGGUUAAAACUCAAGGAAUUGACGGGGACCCGC
rnacentral:rRNA from 1 species